UGGUCCUUCGAUGACCCUGAUAUAAAAGUGCUACUUCAAACGACAACAUAUGUCUUCUCACUCUGUUGCCACCCUUAGGCCCAUCACCAAUGUUGUUCAAGAUCCAGGCUAUCAAUCCCAAUUUCAGCAAUAUCAACAACAGCCUCGACAACAAGCUUCGGGACAACCAUAGUUUGAUCUGAUUCCCAUGAAAUAUGGAGUGUU
rnacentral:lncRNA from 1 species